UACAGAGGUCUCAAGCGUUGUUCGGAAUCACUGGGCUUAAAGGGCGCGUAGGCGGCCGAGCGGGUCACGGGUGAAAUCCUCCAGCUUAACUGGAGAACUGCCCUUGAUACCACUGCGGCUCGAGGAAGGAAGGGGUCAUGGGAACUGUCGGUGGAGCGGUGAAAUGCGUUGAUAUCGACAGGAACGCCGGUGGCGAAAGCGCAUGACUGGUCCUUUUCUGACGCUGAGGCGCGAAAGCCAGGGGAGCAAACGGGG
rnacentral:rRNA from 1 species